GUAUUAUUAGUAUUCUGUGGGUAUCAGUUUGGUCAAAGAUUAGGGCCUAAUCUUUGAGUUUGGUAACGUUGAUUUCCUCUGCUGGACGGGUUGCUCCUUUUUUUGACUGUCAGUUCUGUGGUUCCUUCUUGAAGGUUAUGUUAUGAUUAAAAAUAACUUUCUGUUAUAUUAUAGAUUUUAAUUUCUAAGUUUGCUUUCGCCCUUCGAUACUAUUACUCUUUUAUUGCAACACCCAUAGAUAAGGCAACACCUUCCAAACAUUGAUCAUGGAUUUGAGAGUUAUUCCAUUCAUUUUUGAUGACGAUGAAGAAAUAAAUAUAAUCAAUACAAUAAUUGGACCUGUUCUAGAGUUGGCUGAGCCUUUGCCUAAUUUGGAAAGUUAAAAUAGAGCAUUUAUUCCAAAAAAUGAAAAUUUUUAUGAAAAUACAAUUCCUCUUGACAUGGGAGAUCUAUUCAAAGAACAUUUCAGAAUAUCCCGAACAGCUUUUGAUAUCGAGGUCUUUUUCUAGAAUUUGAUUCUUUUGAAAUGCAGGGUGAAUCAGGACACUCUGAGGAUGAUAAUGAAUGGUCCGAUUUUGAAGCGUUCCCCUCAAAGUAUUUCUGGCAGAAAACAAUAUCUGGAAAAAGUAAUUUCUUUCUUAGUAGGAAAAUAAAAAAAAAUUUAUUUCAAUCAACAGAAACAUUAACCUAUAACAUUUCACGCAUUUACUUACCAUUUUGUAGUCUCUGAUGAAUUUGUGGAGUUUCUGUCACACCAUAGGUAAUAUUAUUAAAAGAAUAUCUAAAAGUUUCCAUCUUUGCUAUGUUUGAAAUUCAAAUUUCGUCCCAAAACAAAUGUCACUUGUCACUAACUCAACACGUUACCAAAAAGGAGCUUAAAAUAAAUUCGCUACCGAAAAUGGCGACCGCUCCCUAGCGGAAACUGAUCGAACGCGUUCAGCAGAAACUUUAUAGAAUAUUGACAACUGUUCCACAACUGUUGUGCUGCUGAACGCGCCCAUUAGCGAUCUAUUAUUUUGACAUGUACGCAUGCGCAUUGAGUCAGAUAUUAAGGAUUGUCUAAAUCUAAAAUACAGGCCUCUCCCUAUGGUUCAAUCAUAGCUUAGAAUAUAGAUAUUAUUAAUAAUAAUGUUCUAAGAAUCAUAAAGCGCGUUCGGCAAUAGCAUCCGAGAGCGGACGGAUAUUUUAUCCACGUGACCACAGAUAUGUCGGAUUUUACAGAUUUAUCUGUAAUAAACGAACGGUACAGAGCUUCCUGAGCUUCAGCUGUUAUGUCAGUUCUUUGAUAUACGCAUGUGGCGCCCUUCGUGGCUAAAUGAAAUGAAAUCAUUAGUAAAACAUAAUCAAUAUUCAUAAUAUACACUUUUACUGUCUUGCCUGCUGAAGAGGCGUUAGAAAUUUAUGCUUUUUUUAACUAUACUAAGAAGUUUUGAGUUGAUGUUGUUUUCAAUAUUGAAAAAUAGGGAAAAAUUCUGAAGAAGUAUAAAAAAACGGAUACCUAAUUCCUCUUAAAAAAUUAAAAGAUAUAAAAAGAAAAAUGGUCUGAUCUAGUAGAAAGUAUAUUUCCAAGGAGGAAUCACUUCUAAAAUCUCCAUUCGUUUUAUGAAGACAAAAAUGUUUCAAUGGAAGUUUAAGAAGGAAAACAGGAAUUUUCAUGUCAAAUUCAUCCAAGUGAUUUGGAAGAUGAUAUCUUUUUAUUUUCAUCAGUAAUUUAAUGGACUAUGGUGCCAAGGGAAUGUAUGAUGGGAUAACUUAUACUGCCAUAGGAUAAAUAAAUGAUAUGUAAAAUCAAUGCAGUAUUUGAUAAUAAUAAUAAUUUAUUUGCACACAAGAAAUUCAUAAAAACAUACGCCAUCAAAAGUUUACAUGGCUUGUCAAUCAAAAAAUCUUAAACUAUAAAUGAGUAGUAUUGAAAGUCAUUGUAAUGAAAACAUGAAUAUGUUUGUAGUUACAAAUUAUCAAAUAAUAUUUACAAAAAUGAUUCCUAAAUAAAUCACUCAACCUGUA